rnacentral:rRNA from 1 species
GACGAACGCUGGCGGCGUGCUUAACACAUGCAAGUCGAACGGAAAGGCCCUGCUUUUGUGGGGUGCUCGAGUGGCGAACGGGUGAGUAACACGUGAGUAACCUGCCCUUGACUUUGGGAUAACUUCAGGGAACUGGGGCUAAUACCGGAUAGGAGCUCCUGCUGCAUGGUGGGGGUUGGAAAGUUUUGGGGGUUGGGGAUGGUCUCGCGGCUUCUCAGCUUUGUUGUGGGGUAGUGGCUUACCAGGGCUUUGACGGGUAGCCGGCGUGAGAGGGUGAGCGGCCACAUUGGGUCAGAGAUAGGGCACAGACCCAUACGGGGGGCAGCAGGGGGGUAUAGUGCACAAUGGGCAGGAGCGUGGUGCAGCAACGGCGCGUGGGGUAUGACGGCUUGCGGUGUGUACACCGCUUUCGCCUGUGACGAAGCGUGAGUGACGGUAAUGGGAAAAGAAGCACCGGCUAACUACGUG